rfam:Gossypium raimondii Chr10_contig_45, whole genome shotgun sequence.
UGUUAAAAGUUUUAUCCAUUUCUACUAAAAAAUUGGCGUGACUGAUAAAAUAACUAGACAAUUACACAUGGCGUGCCAUGUGUACCUCAUGCUGGCAUACAUAGGCUAGUUUUUAAUAGAAAAAACGGAUGGAAUUUAUAAUA